rnacentral:rRNA from 1 species
GAUGAACGCUGGCGGCGUGCCUAAUACAUGCAAGUCGAGCGAACAGACGAGGAGCUUGCUCCUCCGACGUUAGCGGCGGACGGGUGAGUAACACGUGGAUAACCUACCUAUAAGACUGGGAUAACUUCGGGAAGCCGGAGCUAAUACCGGAUAAUAUAUUGAACCGCAUGGUUCAAUAGUGAAAGACGGUUUUGCUGUCACUUAUAGAUGGAUCCGCGCCGCAUUAGCUAGUUGGUAAGGUAACGGCUUACCAAGGCGACGAUGCGUAGCCGACCUGAGAGGGUGAUCGGCCACACUGGAACUGAGACACGGUCCAGACUCCUACGGGAGGCAGCAGUAGGGAAUCUUCCGCAAUGGGCGAAACCCUGACGGAGCAACGCCGCGUGAGUGAUGAAGGUCUUCGGAUCGUAAAACUCUGUUAUUAGGGAAGAACAAAUGUGUAAGUAACUAUGCACGUCUUGACGGUACCUAAUCAGAAAGCCACGGCUAACUACGUG